rnacentral:rRNA from 1 species
GACGAACGCUGGCGGCGUGCUUAACACAUGCAAGUCGAACGGAAAGGCCCUGCUUUUGUGGGGUGCUCGAGUGGCGAACGGGUGAGUAACACGUGAGUAACCUGCCCUUGACUUUGGGAUAACUUCAGGAAACUGGGGCUAAUACCGGAUAGGAGCUCCUGCUGCAUGGUGGGGGUUGGAAAGUUUCGGCGGUUGGGGAUGGACUCGCGGCUUAUCAGCUUGUUGGUGGGGUAGUGGCUUACCAAGGCUUUGACGGGUAGCCGGCCUGAGAGGGUGACCGGCCACAUUGGGACUGAGAUACGGCCCAGACGCCUACGGGAGGCAGCAGUGGGGAAUAUUGCACAAUGGGCGGACGCCUGAUGCAGCAACGCCGCGUGCGGGAUGACGGCCUUCGGGUUGUAAACCGCUUUCGCCUGUGACGAAGCGUGAGUGACGGUAAUGGGUAAAGAAGCACCGGCUAACUACGUG